rnacentral:rRNA from 1 species
ACGGGAGGCAGCAGUGGGGAAUAUUGGACAAUGGGCGAAAGCCUGAUCCAGCCAUGCCGCGUGAGUGAUGAAGGCCCUAGGGUUGUAAAGCUCUUUUGUCCGGGAAGAUAAUGACUGUACCGGAAGAAUAAGCCCCGGCUAACUUCGUGCCAGCAGCCGCGGUAAUACGAAGGGGGCUAGCGUUGCUCGGAAUCACUGGGCGUAAAGGGCGCGUAGGCGGCCAUUCAAGUCGGGGGUGAAAGCCCAGGGCUCAACCCUGGAAUUGCCUUCGAUACUGUUUGGCUAGAGACCGGAAGAGGUUAGUGGAACUGCGAGUGUAGAGGUGAAAUUCGUAGAUAUUCGCAAGAACACCAGUGGCGAAGGCGGCUAACUGGUCCGGUUCUGACGCUGAGGCGCGAAAGCGUGGGGAGCAAACAGGAUUAGAUACCCUGGUA